rnacentral:piRNA from 2 species
UCCGCCCACACAGAUAUUUGAAGCCAGUGA